rnacentral:rRNA from 1 species
GCAGUCGAGCGGAGUGAUAGUGCUUGCACUAUCACUUAGCGGCGGACGGGUGAGUAAUGCUUAGGAAUCUGCCUAUUAGUGGGGGACAACAUUUCGAAAGGAAUGCUAAUACCGCAUACGUCCUACGGGAGAAAGCAGGGGAUCUUCGGACCUUGCGCUAAUAGAUGAGCCUAAGUCGGAUUAGCUAGUUGGUGGGGUAAAGGCCUACCAAGGCGACGAUCUGUAGCGGGUCUGAGAGGAUGAUCCGCCACACUGGGACUGAGACACGGCCCAGACUCCUACGGGAGGCAGCAGUGGGGAAUAUUGGACAAUGGGCGCAAGCCUGAUCCAGCCAUGCCGCGUGUGUGAAGAAGGCCUUAUGGUUGUAAAGCACUUUAAGCGAGGAGGAGGCUACUUUAGUUAAUACCUAGAGAUAGUGGACGUUACUCGCAGAAUAAGCACCGGCUAACUCUGUGCCAGCAGCCGCGGUAAUACAGAGGGUGCAAGCGUUAAUCGGAUUUACUGGGCGUAAAGCGCGCGUAGGCGGCUAAUUAAGUCAAAUGUGAAAUCCCCGAGCUUAACUUGGGAAUUGCAUUCGAUACUGGUUAGCUAGAGUGUGGGAGAGGAUGGUAGAAUUCCAGGUGUAGCGGUGAAAUGCGUAGAGAUCUGGAGGAAUACCGAUGGCGAAGGCAGCCAUCUGGCCUAACACUGACGCUGAGGUGCGAAAGCAUGGGGAGCAAACAGGAUUAGAUACCCUGGUAGUCCAUGCCGUAAACGAUGUCUACUAGCCGUUGGGGCCUUUGAGGCUUUAGUGGCGCAGCUAACGCGAUAAGUAGACCGCCUGGGGAGUACGGUCGCAAGACUAAAACUCAAAUGAAUUGACGGGGGCCCGCACAAGCGGUGGAGCAUGUGGUUUAAUUCGAUGCAACGCGAAGAACCUUACCUGGCCUUGACAUAGUAAGAACUUUCCAGAGAUGGAUUGGUGCCUUCGGGAACUUACAUACAGGUGCUGCAUGGCUGUCGUCAGCUCGUGUCGUGAGA